AGGGUUUGAUCAUGGCUCAGAACGAACGCUGGCGGCAGGCUUAACACAUGCAAGUCGAACGAGAAGCCAUCCUUCGGGGUGGUGGAAAGUGGCGCACGGGUGAGUAACACGUGGGAACCUACCCUUUGGUUCGGAAUAACCGCGGGAAACUGCGGCUAAUACCGAAUAAGCCCUAUGGGGGAAAGAUUUAUCGCCGAAGGAUGGGCCCGCGCCGGAUUAGCUUGUUGGUAGGGUAACGGCCUACCAAGGCUACGAUCCGUAGCUGGUCUGAGAGGAUGGUCAGCCACACUGGGACUGAGACACGGCCCAGACUCCUACGGGAGGCAGCAGUGGGGAAUAUUGGACAAUGGGCGCAAGCCUGAUCCAGCCAUGCCGCGUGAGUGAAGAAGGCCCUAG
rnacentral:rRNA from 1 species